GUGUUUGGUGAGAUCGGUGGGCUCGCAGUUCGCAUGGUUUGCACGUGAGAAAACUGUUCUUCGCACGCGUGCCGUUUCUCAGAAUGUGUUUAUGAGAUGGAUUGCGAAGUAGCAUUGGAAUAUUUUCCCGGUAAGGACUAGAGCGGAACCCAGAGUAGGGGCAAGUCUUCUCACAGAAUCGAAAAAAUCAAGAUGGCAUCGAAGCCAGCGCUGCCGUGUCCUCGUUGCGGGCUGGAGAGAAGAAGAACCUGCGAUUGCGGACAAAAUUUCGUGUUACAACGUAGAAGACGACGUUGGGGGAACUGGGACAUGCCGCAACACGCUAGCAAGCAGUACCUGCUCGGAAAGAAGAGGACACAAGUUGCAGUGUAGGCCGCGACUUUUCGUUGAUGUGUGCGAGUGUGUGUCUAUGUUGACAUCAACGAAGGAACCUCUCUGACACUAUUCGCACACUAAGGCGCACAACAGCUAGCCAGAGUUGUUUUCUUGCCUGGACGUGCGGCGUGUGUGCAGAAAAAGGAAACCCAGGAGUUGAAGUGCCAGCUGAACACCUCGCAGAACACAAUCGGUGCAGCCGGGAUUGUGAACACAUUGUGGAGCUCUCCAGCCUCAAGUCCAGGACCAAGAAUUUUCAUUUCGUGUGACAAACGUACAUUACACUCAUUAACAUACUGAGUCAUAACCUGUUCUCGACAUGUAGGUAUUAUAAAAGUUGUCAGGUAUGGGAUUGCAGUUUUGUAAUUUAGCUAUGUUAUAUGCGUGAGUUAUACUGUGCUGUUUCUCCGUUGAAGAAAUUUCUGAUGAAACUGGUACACAGUAAGUUCGGUGCCAUAGAGUAAUUCGUGACUACCUGUGCACAUGGUAGUCAUGCACUAAGGUCACAUACUGAGAAUGUGACUUCGGUCAAACCGUUGUGACCUUCAAAACCCUGCAUACAUCAGAAGCGCUCCACUUCAGGAUGCUGCUUACAAAUGGUGUUUAAUUUUAUGCGAUACUACAAAUGCAGUUUUUGCAGGUGUCAGCAAAUAUUUUGUGUGAGGUAGUAUAGACGUGGAAGCAAAUCUUUUGUGUGAGAUAGCAUAGAACUGCCAGACAGCUACUUAAUUAAAAUGCAUUAAUUAGAUUUACUGAACUACACUGAUAAAUUAAAUUGGGUCUUUUUCGGCUGUACCGAUUUCAGCAGAAUGUGAGGCAAUUCUUGUUCAUUGGACCAUGUCACGAGUAUUAUUUAUGGCGCGAAUUUUCUUUAGAGUGCCGAAAGCAAGGCAAAACUGUGGAAGAAGUGCAGGUACUACACUACCAAUUAUUUUUGAGAGCCAAGUGCUUCGACAAAAAUUUGCGCCUGAUUGGUGUAACAGCUGGCUGCGGUCCAGAUAUGUAGCAAUGCCGUUGGGAGUCAAACUGCAAUCAGCUCGAUGAAGCAGUCAUUUCAAAUUUUGGGAGAUUUAAUCACAACACAAGACUAUUUGAUGUACGUGAAGGUUGUGCCUGCAUUUUGUGUACGUGUUCGACUGAGCCCAAGGUCAUUAGUUGCAGAAUUUCGGAAAAAUUGGCUUAGUUUAAACAAGGACUGCCUCCUUUAUGCUAUCAUGGAUUUGCCGAAAAAGUUGUGGUUUGGUAUAUAUAUAUCUCACUAAAUAGCAAGUCUGCUUGGACGUAGAAUCCACCUGCAAACACUGCAUCAAUGCUCUCAUCAUAGGUUUUAGAUCGGCCGCUGUACCGAAGGAAAAUAAUCCUGUUUUUUGCAUGUUUUGUAUCCAUGUUUGUGUUUCCAUUUUAAAAUGCAUGCAGUAUGCAGCUCACUUUUUGUAUUUUAGUUUUCUAUAGCACCAAGAGUGGAUGUCUGUCAUGUCUAGAACGGCAUGUCUAGACUUGAGCUAAUAUUUGUGAAUAUAGGUUGCAAUCAUUGUCCUUUUUAUGUAUGUACAUGCGCUUUGUCUUUUCAGGAGAGACACGUGGGAGAUACCCUUUUGCAUCAGAUACUCAACUUAACAGGAGCCCCCCCCCCCCCUUGUUGCUCUCAAUGGAACCAGAAGUAGUAUAAAUAAAAGUCGUAGUCGAAGUAGUCGCAUAGUUCGUCAU